rnacentral:rRNA from 1 species
AUUGAACGCUGGCGGCAGGCCUAACACAUGCAAGUCGAGCGGAUGAAGGGAGCUUGCUCCUGGAUUCAGCGGCGGACGGGUGAGUAAUGCCUAGGAAUCUGCCUGGUAGUGGGGGAUAACGUCCGGAAACGGGCGCUAAUACCGCAUACGUCCUGAGGGAGAAAGUGGGGGAUCUUCGGACCUCACGCUAUCAGAUGAGCCUAGGUCGGAUUAGCUAGUUGGUGGGGUAAAGGCCUACCAAGGCGACGAUCCGUAACUGGUCUGAGAGGAUGAUCAGUCACACUGGAACUGAUACAAGGUCCAGACUACGACGGGAGGCAGCAGGGGGGAAUUGUGGAGAAUGUGCGAAGGGUGUAAGGAGCAAGGCGGCGGGAGUAAGGAAGGUCUGCGGAUAGUAAACCGCUGUUAAGAGGGAAGAACAUAAGGGUAAGUAAAUGUGCAUACCUUGAGGGUACCUAAGAAGAAAGACACGGCUAGGGAAGUG